rnacentral:lncRNA from 1 species
CCUAAUUGCACACGUCAGAUCUACUCCAUGGAAAUCCAGAAUAAACAGGAUGACUCCAGCCUUCUUUAAUGGACGGGAAAAAAAAGCUGCUUUGUUCAGCAGACUGUAAUUAUUAACUAUUUUUAUCUGAAGAACCUUCAGAGGACACUCUAUCUACAAAUCUAACAACAGAACCUUAAAUCAAAGACUUCUAAAAUAUUGAUGGUGCUGGAAUGGCUUGGCGGUCGGGAACAUUUUUAACUCUGGGGGAUUUUUUCUUUUUUAAAAGCUUACUUAACUGAGUUGGAUGUUUUCUUCGCAGGGCCCCGAUGGCCCACCAGGAAAGCCGGGCCUCCCUGGAGAGAUGGGAAAGCUUGGCGAACGAGCCGAAGCUGGGCCGAAGGGAUUUCCAGUAAGUGAUUGGGGCUAACAGAGGUCCGUUUUAGGGUGUUCAGGGACCCUCGGGACCUCCCGGAGCCAAAGGAAUUGCAGGGGAGCCUGUGAGUUGUUUAUGUGCCUCCGUGAGUGGAUCCUAUUUUGGUUCCACAGCUGAAUAUAAACCU